rnacentral:rRNA from 1 species
UGAAACACGGACCAAGGAGUCUAGCAUGUGCGCGAGUCAUUGGGACUCGUAGAACUAAACCCAGAGGCGCAAUGAAAGUGAAAGGUCGGACCUCGGUGUCCUUCCGCGAGGGAAGAUGCGCGGGCGGUCCUCGGCCGCCCCGCCGCAUUCCCGAGGCGUUUCGAGAAAGCCACCGUGCGACUAUCGAGACGCACUGAGAGCGCACACGCUGGGACCCGAAAGAUGGUGAACUAUGCCUGGUCAGGUCGAAGUCAG